rnacentral:lncRNA from 1 species
CAUUGAAAAUGCUGCAGAGGAAAAAAUUGAAUGGCUUGAAAGCCACCAAGAUGUUGACAUUGAAGACUUCAAAGCUAAACAGAAGGAACUAGAAGAAAUUGUUCAGCCAAUUAUCAGCAAACUCUAUGGAAGUGCAGACCCUCCCCGGACUGGUGAAGAGGAUACAGCAGAAAGAGAAGAGUUGUAGACAAUGGUCUGCUAGUGCUGUAAUAUUGUAAAUACUGGACUCAGGACCUUUCAUUAGGAGACAAUUGAGAGAACUUAAGUCUCGAAUGUACUUGGAAUCUUCACCUCAGAGUGGAGUUGAAAAUGCUAUAGCCCAAGUGGCUGUUUACUGCUUUCCAUUAGCAGUUGCUCACAUGUUUUGGGGUGGAGAGAGAGGAGGAAUUGGCUAUCUUAAAAACUGGAUAUAAAAACGUGGGUGAGGAUGUGUGUUCACCUCAGAAAUGUUCUAUUUAAUGAUUUGGUCAUGCACAUCUCGUGUAGGAACGUUUUU